rnacentral:rRNA from 1 species
GACUAGAGUUUGAUCCUGGCCUCAGAACGAACGUUAGCGGCGCGCUUAACACAUGCAAGUCGUGCGAGAAAGGGCUUCGGACCCCGGUAAAGCGGCGCACGGGUGAGUAACACGUGGAUAACCUACCCUCAGGUGGCGGAUAACCUUCCGAAAGGAGGGCUAAUACGGCAUAAGACCACGAUCUCGCAAGAGGUUGAGGUAAAGCAGGCCUCUGUACACAAGCUUGCGCCAGGGGAUGGGUCCGCGGCCCAUCAGCUAGUUGGUAGGGUAAUGGCCUACCAAGGCGAAGACGGGUAGCUGGUCUGAGAGGAUGAUCAGCCACACUGGAACUGAGACACGGUCCAGACUCCUACGGGAGGCAGCAGUGGGGAAUCUUGCGCAAUGGGCGAAAGCCUGACGCAGCGACGCCGCGUGAGUGAUGAAGGCCUUCGGGUUGUAAAGCUCUGUGGAGAGGGACGAAUAAGUCGGAGCGAAUAGCUCCGAUGAUGACGGUACCUCUUUAGCAAGCACCGGCUAACUCUGUGCCAGCAGCCGCGGUAA